rnacentral:rRNA from 1 species
UGGGGAAUAUUGGACAAUGGGCGAAAGCCUGAUCCAGCCAUGCCGCGUGUGUGAAGAAGGUCUUCGGAUUGUACAGCACUUUAAGUUGGGAGGAAGGGCAGUAAGCGAAUACCUUGCUGUUUUGACGUUACCGACAGAAUAAGCACCGGCUAACUCUGUGCCAGCAGCCGCGGUAAUACAGAGGGUGCAAGCGUUAAUCGGAAUUACUGGGCGUAAAGCGCGCGUAGGUGGUUCGUUAAGUUGAAUGUGAAAGCCCCGGGCUCACCCUGGGAACUGCAUCCUAAACUGGCAAGCUAGAGUAGAGCAGAGGGUGGUGCAAUUUCCUGUGUAGCGGUGAAAUGCGUAGACAUAGGAAGGAACACCAGUGGAGAAGGCGACCACCUGGGCUCAUACUGACUCUGAGGUGCGAAAGCGUGGGGAGCAAACAGG